UUUGAAGCUCAGGCGAUGAAGAGGAUGAUCUUAGCUUUUAGGGUUUUAAUGGGACCAGGGACCAGAUUGGGUACAAAAUUCAGAUUUGCCACAUCAGCUAGCCGUUGCUGGCUCCAGCGUGGCAUUGGAGGUGCCAGAUCAUCCCUCCGUUUGCUGAAUUGGCGCCGGAAAGGGUUGCAGGACAACUAUGGGUCCCGGAGCUGAAUGUCAGGGAUGCUGUUAGGGAAUUUUGAAAGUCAAGGACAACUAUGG
rnacentral:lncRNA from 1 species